ACGCUGAGGCUCGAAGGCCAGGGUAGCGAAAGGGAUUAGAUACCCCUGUAGUCCUGGCAGUAAACGGUGCACGCUUGGUGUGAGGGGAAUCGACCCCCCUUGUGCCGGAGCAAACGCGUUAAGCGUGCCGCCUGGGAAGUACGGUCGCAAGACUAAAACUCAAAGAAAUUGACGGGGACCCGCACAAGCGGUGGAGUAUGUGGCUUAAUUCGAUGCAACGCGAAGAACCUUACCAAGGCUUGACAUGCAUCUCUAAGCGCGUGAAAGCGCGUGACCCUUCGGGGGAUUUGCACAGGUGCUGCAUGGCCGUCGUCAGCUCGUGUCGUGAGAUGUUGGGUUAAGUCCCGCAACGAGCGCAACCCUUGUGAUUAGUUGCCAGCGGGUAAUGCCGGGAACUCUAGUCAGACUGCCCAGAUCAACUGGGAGGAAGGUGGGGACGACGUCAGGUCAGUAUGGCCCUUACGCCUUGGGCUGCACACGUACUACAAUGCCCAGCACAAUGAGAACCGAGACCGCGAGGUGGAGGAAAUCUGCAAAACUGGGCCCAGUUCGGAUUGGAGGCUGCAACUCGCCUCCAUGAAGUCGGAAUCGCUAGUAAUGGCGCAUCAUCUACGGCGCCGUGAAUACGUUCCCGGGUCUUGUACACACCGCCCGUCACAUCAUGGAAGCCGGUCGCACCCGAAG
rnacentral:rRNA from 1 species